rnacentral:rRNA from 1 species
GACGAACGCUGGCGGCGUGCCUAAUACAUGCAAGUAGAACGCAGUUGCGAACGGGUGAGUAACGCGUCGGUAACCUGCCUCAUAGCGGGGGAUAACUAUUGGAAACGAUAGACAAUACCGCAUACUGUGAGAUGGCUCUGAGUUGUAUUAGCUCGUUGGUGAGGAAAAGGCUCACCAAGGCGACGAUAACUAGCUGACCUGAGAGGGUGAUCUGCCACACGGGGACUGAGACACGGCCGAGACUCCUACGGGAGGCAGCAGUAGGGAAUAUUGGGCAAUGGACGAAAGUCUGACCGAGAAACGCCGCGUGAGUGAAGAAGGUUUUCGGAUCGUAAAACGCUGUUGUUAGGGAAGCGGUAUCUAACCAGAAAGCCACGGCUAACUACGUGCCAGCAGCCGCGGUAAUUC